AACGAACGCUGACGGCAUGCCUAACACAUGCAAGUCGAACGAACCCUUCGGGGUGAGUGGCGCACGGGUGCGUAACACGUGGGAACCUGCCCUUAGGUUCGGAAUAACAGUUAGAAAUGACUGCUAAUACCGGAUAAUGUCUUCGGACCAAAGAUUUAUCGCCUUUGGAUGGGCCCGCGUAGGAUUAGCUAGUUGGUGAGGUAAAGGCUCACCAAGGCGACGAUCCUUAGCUGGUCUUAGAGGAUGAUCAGCCACACUGGGACUGAGACACGGCCCAGACUCCUACGGGAGGCAGCAGUGGGGAAUAUUGGACAAUGGGCGAAAGCCUGAUCCAGCAAUGCCGCGUGAGUGAUGAAGGCCUUAGGGUUGUAAAGCUCUUUUACCUGGGAUGAUAAUGACAGUACCAGGAGAAUAAGCCCCGGCUAACUCCGUGCCAGCCGCCGCCGUAACAC
rnacentral:rRNA from 1 species